rnacentral:lncRNA from 1 species
AUCUCCCACCGACCAACAGCCUCAGCCACAAGCUGAGAAAAAGAUCAACAAUCGACCAACGGCGGUAGUGAUCAACAUAAUUUCUGGACGAUCGAAGGAUUGGAGGGCAACUUUCGAAGAAGAGUUGGUAAAGAAAUGAUAACUUGAUAAUAUAAUCUUUUUUUUCGAAAGAUGAUGUUUGGAGAAUACAAACUCUCCAUGAUGAUGCUGUCGUCAUCUUGACGACAAUAGCAAAUUACGAUGUAAAAAAAAUUCUAGUCAAUAAUGAAAGUUCUACUGAUGUUCUCUUUUACUCGACUUUCUCUCGAAUGUGACUACUGACUGACCGA